rnacentral:rRNA from 1 species
GUGACUGCGUACCUUUUGUAUAAUGGGUCAGCGACUUAUAUUCUGUAGCAAGGUUAACCGUAUAGGGGAGCCGGAGGGAAACCGAGUCUUAAUUGGGCGUUAAGUUGCAGGGUAUAGACCCGAAACCCGGUGAUCUAGCCAUGGGCAGGUUGAAGGUUGGGUAACACUAACUGGAGGACCGAACCGACUAAUGUUGAAAAAUUAGCGGAUGACCUGUGGCUGGGGGUGAAAGGCCAAUCAAACCGGGAGAUAGCUGGUUCUCCCCGAAAGCUAUUUAGGUAGCGCCUCGUGAAUUCAUCUCCGGGGGUAGAGCACUGUUUCGGCUAGGGGGCCAUCCCGGCUUACCAACCCGAUGCAAACUGCGAAUACCGGAGAAUGUUAUCACGGGAGACACACGGCGGGUGCUAACGUCCGUCGUGAAGAGGGAAACAACCCAGACCGCCAGCUAAGGUCCCAAAGUCAUGGUUAAGUGGGAAACGAUGUGGGAAGGCCCAGACAGCCAGGAUGUUGGCUUAGAAGCAGCCAUCAUUUAAAGAAAGCGUAAUAGCUCACUGGUCGAGUCGGCCUGCGCGGAAGAUGUAACGGGGCUAAACCAUGCACCGAAGCUGCGGCAGCGACGCUGAUGCGUUGUUGGGUAGGGGAGCGUUCUGUAAGCCUGCGAAGGUGGCCUGUGAGGGUUGCUGGAGGUAUCAGAAGUGCGAAUGCUGACAUAAGUAACGAUAAAGCGGGUGAAAAGCCCGCUCGCCGGAAGACCAAGGGUUCCUGUCCAACGUUAAUCGGGGCAGGGUGAGUCGACCCCUAAGGCGAGGCCGAAAGGCGUAGUCGAUGGGAAACGGGUUAAUAUUCCCGUACUUGGUGUUACUGCGAAGGGGGGACGGAGAAGGCUAUGUUGGCCGGGCGACGGUUGUCCCGGUUUAAGCGUGUAGGUGUGUGUUCCAGGUAAAUCCGGUUCACUUUAACACUGAGGCGUGAUGACGAGGCACUACGGUGCUGAAGCAACAAAUGCCCUGCUUCCAGGAAAAGCCUCUAAGCAUCAGGUAACAUCAAAUCGUACCCCAAACCGACACAGGUGGUCAGGUAGAGAAUACCAAGGCGCUUGAGAGAACUCGGGUGAAGGAACUAGGCAAAAUGGUGCCGUAACUUCGGGAGAAGGCACGCUGACACGUAGGUGAAGUGAUUUACUCACGGAGCUGAAGUCAGUCGAAGAUACCAGCUGGCUGCAACUGUUUAUUAAAAACACAGCACUGUGCAAACACGAAAGUGGACGUAUACGGUGUGACGCCUGCCCGGUGCCGGAAGGUUAAUUGAUGGGGUCAGCGCAAGCGAAGCUCCUGAUCGAAGCCCCGGUAAACGGCGGCCGUAACUAUAACGGUCCUAAGGUAGCGAAAUUCCUUGUCGGGUAAGUUCCGACCUGCACGAAUGGCGUAAUGAUGGCCAGGCUGUCUCCACCCGAGACUCAGUGAAAUUGAACUCGCUGUGAAGAUGCAGUGUACCCGCGGCAAGACGGAAAGACCCCGUGAACCUUUACUAUAGCUUGACACUGAACAUUGAGCCUUGAUGUGUAGGAUAGGUGGGAGGCUUUGAAGUGUGGACGCCAGUCUGCAUGGAGCCGACCUUGAAAUACCACCCUUUAAUGUUUGAUGUUCUAACGUGGACCCGUAAUCCGGGUUGCGGACAGUGUCUGGUGGGUAGUUUGACUGGGGCGGUCUCCUCCUAAAGAGUAACGGAGGAGCACGAAGGUUGGCUAAUCCUGGUCGGACAUCAGGAGGUUAGUGCAAUGGCAUAAGCCAGCUUGACUGCGAGCGUGACGGCGCGAGCAGGUGCGAAAGCAGGUCAUAGUGAUCCGGUGGUUCUGAAUGGAAGGGCCAUCGCUCAACGGAUAAAAGGUACUCCGGGGAUAACAGGCUGAUACCGCCCAAGAGUUCAUAUCGACGGCGGUGUUUGGCACCUCGAUGUCGGCUCAUCACAUCCUGGGGCUGAAGUAGGUCCCAAGGGUAUGGCUGUUCGCCAUUUAAAGUGGUACGCGAGCUGGGUUUAGAACGUCGUGAGACAGUUCGGUCCCUAUCUGCCGUGGGCGCUGGAGAACUGAGGGGGGCUGCUCCUAGUACGAGAGGACCGGAGUGGACGCAUCACUGGUGUUCGGGUUGUCAUGCCAAUGGCACUGCCCGGUAGCUAAAUGCGGAAGAGAUAAGUGCUGAAAGCAUCUAAGCACGAAACUUGCCCCGAGAUGAGUUCUCCCUGAGACUUAGAGUCUCCUGAAGGAACGUUGAAGACGACGACGUUGAUAGGCCGGGUGUGUAAGCGCAGCGAUGCGUUGAGCUAACCGGUACUAAUGAACCGUGAGGCUUAACCUUACAACGCCGAAG